GUGCCAAUAGCUCAGUUGGGAGAGCGUCAGACUGAAGUUUAAAUCAUUCUGUCUGUCUGUUGGUUGGUUUGUCAAAGAACUCGGGGUAAUCUGAAGGUCACCCGUUCAAUCCGGGUUUGGCGCA